rnacentral:rRNA from 1 species
AGCGAACGCUGGCGGCAGGCCUAACACAUGCAAGUCGAACGAAGUCUUCGGACUUAGUGGCGGACGGGUGAGUAACACGUGAGAACGUGCCUUUAGGUUCGGAAUAACUCAGGGAAACUUGUGCUAAUACCGAAUGUGCCCUUCGGGGGAAAGAUUUAUCGCCUUUAGAGCGGCCCGCGUCUGAUUAGCUAGUUGGUGAGGUAAAGGCUCACCAAGGCGACGAUCAGUAGCUGGUCUGAGAGGAUGAUCAGCCACAUUGGGACUGAGACACGGCCCAAACUCCUACGGGAGGCAGCAGUGGGGAAUCUUGCGCAAUGGGCGAAAGCCUGACGCAGCCAUGCCGCGUGAAUGAUGAAGGUCUUAGGAUUGUAAAAUUCUUUCACCGGGGACGAUAAUGACGGUACCCGGAGAAGAAGCCCCGGCUAACUUCGUGCCAGCAGCCGCUGUAA